rnacentral:tRNA from 1 species
GGGCCCAUAGCUCAGACGGCAGAGCAGCGGACUUUUAAUCCGUGGGUCGCAGGUUCGAUUCCUGCUGGGCCCA